rnacentral:pre_miRNA from 1 species
CGUGGGGCAGCAGCCUUAUCUGGAUCGGGUUUCGCUGGCUAACGUGUUGUGCGAGCGAGCAACCAAACUUCAAUUCGUUGUCGACGAAACCUGCACGGAGUAAGGCACGGAGCACCA